rnacentral:rRNA from 1 species
UGGGGAAUUUUGGACAAUGGGCGAAAGCCUGAUCCAGCAAUGCCGCGUGUGUGAAGAAGGCCUUCGGGUUGUAAAGCACUUUUGUCCGGAAAGAAAUCCUUGGCUCUAAUACAGUCGGGGGAUGACGGUACCGGAAGAAUAAGCACCGGCUAACUACGUGCCAGCAGCCGCGGUAAUACGUAGGGUGCAAGCGUUAAUCGGAAUUACUGGGCGUAAAGCGUGCGCAGGCGGUUUGCUAAGACCGAUGUGAAAUCCCCGGGCUCAACCUGGGAACUGCAUUGGUGACUGGCAGGCUAGAGUAUGGCAGAGGGGGGUAGAAUUCCACGUGUAGCAGUGAAAUGCGUAGAGAUGUGGAGGAAUACCGAUGGCGAAGGCAGCCCCCUGGGCCAAUACUGACGCUCAUGCACGAAAGCGUGGGGGAGCAAACAGGAUUAGAUACCCUGGUAGUCCACGCCCUAAACGAUGUCAACUAGUUGUUGGGGAUUCAUUUCCUUAGUAACGUAGCUAACGCGUGAAGUUGACCGCCUGGGGAGUACGGUCGCAAGAUUAAAACUCAAAUGGAAUUGACGGGGUCAUAGCUGUUUCCU